rnacentral:rRNA from 1 species
CCUACGGGUGGCAGCAGUGGGGAAUAUUGGACAAUGGGCGAAAGCCUGAUCCAGCCAUGCCGCGUGUGUGAAGAAGGCCUUCGGGUUGUAAAGCACUUUCAGUGGGGAAGAAAGCCUUGGGGCUAAUACCCUCGAGGAAGGACAUCACCCACAGAAGAAGCACCGGCUAACUCCGUGCCAGCAGCCGCGGUAAUACGGAGGGUGCGAGCGUUAAUCGGAAUUACUGGGCGUAAAGCGCGCGUAGGCGGUCUGAUAAGCCGGUUGUGAAAGCCCCGGGCUCAACCUGGGAACGGCAUCCGGAACUGUCAGGCUAGAGUGCAGGAGAGGAAGGUAGAAUUCCCGGUGUAGCGGUGAAAUGCGUAGAGAUCGGGAGGAAUACCAGUGGCGAAGGCGGCCUUCUGGACUGACACUGACGCUGAGGUGCGAAAGCGUGGGUAGCAAACAGGAUUAGCUACCUUGUAGUC